rnacentral:rRNA from 1 species
GAUGAACGCUGGCGGCGUGCUUAACACAUGCAAGUCGAGCGAGUGAGUUCUUCGGAACGAUCUAGCGGCGGACGGGUGAGUAACACGUGGGCAACCUGCCUCAUAGAGGGGAAUAGCCUCCCGAAAGGGAGAUUAAUACCGCAUAAAAUUAUCGAGUGGCAUCACAUGAUAAUCAAAGGAGUAAUCCGCUAUGAGAUGGGCCCGCGGCGCAUUAGCAAGUUGGUGAGGUAACGGCCCACCAAGGCGACGGUGCGUAGCCGACCUGAGAGGGUGAUCGGCCACAUUGGGACUGGGAACCGGCCCAGACUCCUACGGGGGGAAGCAGUGGGGAAUAUUGAACAAUGGGGAAACCCUGAUGCAGCAACGCCGCGUGAGUGAUGAGGGUCUUCGGAUUGUAAAGCUCUGUCUUUGGGGACGAUAAUGACGGUACCCAAGGAGGAAGCCACGGCUAACUACGUGCCAGCCGCCGCCGUAA